rnacentral:lncRNA from 1 species
CUCCCAGUCCAAUUCCAGUCCCUCCCAGUCCUUCUCAAUCCCAUUUCAUUCCAUCCCAGUCUCCUCCCAGUACAUCCAAGUCCCUCCCAGUCCCCCCAAUUCCCUCCCAGUCCCUUUCCAGUGCCUCCCAGUCCAAUUCCAGUCACUCCCAGUCCUUCUCAAUCCCAUUUCAUUCCAUCCCAGUCCCUCCCAGUCCUUUCCAGUCCCUCCCAGUCCCUCCCAGUCCUUUCCAGUCCCUCCCAGUCCUUUCCAGUCCCUCCCAGUCCCUUUCCAGUCCCUCCCAAUUCCCUCCCAGUCCAAUUCCAGUCCCUCCCAAUUCCAUCCCAGUCCAAUUCCAGUCCUUCCCAUCCCCUCCCAGUCCAUCCCAGUGCUCCCAGUUGUAACCAGUCUCCCUUUGCAGCACCUCCAUAUCUCUGGAUGAGGAGAAGAGCGCGGCGGCGGUGGCGGCCGUUUGCUCCUACCUGAGGCUGCAGGGGGUGAAGCCCAAGGGGGGCAGUGGAGACGCCAAGAAACCCAAAGGCCACUUCUUCCGGAAGAAGGUAAUUAAGCACCGCCCUCGUUAGCUCGUUAAUUAGUGAAUUACUUAAUUAGUCAGCCGCAGUCCCGUGAAAUAACCCCCAUUUGUUUAUUGGGGGGGGGGUGGAAAAUGAACCCCUUUUGGGGGGUGUAGGGGUGCCCCCGUGCUUUUACUAAUUAAUUAGCGGUGUAAUUAGUGGUUAAUUAGUGAUUAAUAACAGCUUCAUUAGUGAUCUAUACCCCCCCCCCAUACACACGCUUAGUAACCCCAAUUAGCUCUUUUCGGGGGGAAAAUUGAGCCCCUUAAUGAGUCCGUAGCGCCCCCUCCCGCUCUUCCUAAUUAACUAAUUGCGUCAUUAAUGAUUAAUUAGGGAUUAAUAAUCACUUCGUUAACGAGCCGUGGUGUUUCCUGUACCAAAUGACCCCAUUCAGCCUUCCUGAACCCCUCCUUUGGGGUACAGCGGGGCGCCCCGUUGUUCCUAAUUAACGAGCGGUGUAAUUAACGGUUAAUUAGCGCUCAUUAAGCGGUUCGUUAGCGGUUCAUUAACGACUCGCUGCGCUGUUUCCUACAUUUAAUUACCCAACUCAAUGGUUUUCAAGAGGAAAGAACCCAUCUAUUAGGGAAAAGCGCUGCCCUCCGCUCUUACUAAUUAUCUAAGGGCGUAAUUAGUGAUUAAUUAGCAAUUAAUGGGUGGUUUAUUAAUGAGUUCCUGCAUCAAACAAACCCAACUCGCUGAUUCUGGGUGAAGAAUAAACCUCCCUGUUUGCUGGACGGCUGCUGUUGA